rnacentral:rRNA from 1 species
UACGAAGGGGGCUAGCGUUGCUCGGAAUCACUGGGCGUAAAGCGCACGUAGGCGGCUUCUUAAGUCAGGGGUGAAAUCCUGGAGCUCAACUCCAGAACUGCCCUUGAUACUGAGGAGCUCGAGUCCGGGAGAGGUGAGUGGAACUCCGAGUGUAGAGGUGAAAUUCGUAGAUAUUCGGAAGAACACCAGUGGCGUAGGCGGCCGACUGGACUGUAACUGACGCUGAGGCGCGAAAGCGUGGGGAGCAAACAGG